UAACCGACUGAGCCACACAGGUGCCCCUUAUAUCUGUUCUUUUACCCUUAGGAAGCUUAUAGUCUAGGGGUAAAGACCAAUGAGGAAAGAGGAAAAUUCAGUGCUGUUUUAAUUGGGCUUUUACUUACUAGAACUAAGAUUCAUCCCAUUCUUUCUUCAUGUGUUAGAGAGGUUAGUAUAGAGAUUAUUAUUAGAAUAUAAGCACACAACAAUCCAGGGAAAGCUGAGCCUCCUGACAUCAGAAAAUGCAAGAAUUGAAGGUAGUUCUGCAUCCUGGUGGCUCUGGGAUUUCAGUGGUUUCCGAGCAGGAGUUCAGAGCCCGCAAUAUAGUCUCUUGACUUCUCUGUCUCUUACCCUUCUGCUUAAUUGUGGUUUCUGCUCUCUUAAAACUUUUUCUUGUGAGGGACCAGUCUUGAUUUUUCUCUACAUAAUGGGCUUUCAGAAUUUGCCCGUGCUUCUAACUUUUUAUAUUUCUUAGUUCAAAAGACUUAAAAACAUGAUAGAAUUGGUCCAGGUCAUGUUUUUCAAAGCAACCAUGGCUGCCCUUUGACACUCUGUGCCUACCCCUGAUUUCAUCAACUGCAACAAGGGGGUAAAAGUCACAUGGUAAGAACAGGUCUAAGAACUGUAUGUUCAUCAAAGGGUGCGGGAGGAGGCAUAGAACAGGCACUGUGUUGAUGUGCCUACUUCAAAUUUAUCCUUGAAAGUACUAGGAUGUGAUGGUACACAGAAUUCCCUAAGGUUACGGAAUUGGACCGCUUGGUCAAGUCUGAGAGAAGUCAGAGCAUACGCUGUAGGAAAGAUGACACUUAAGCAGUGUCAGUAAGGUUUAGUCAGGGUUAGCUAGUUGAAGGAGUGGGAAGCUGUGUUAGGCAGAGAACACAGCAUGAGAAUGGAAUAGAGGCAAGAAGAAAUGUGUUUCAGGGACUGAACCACAUAGAGUUUAAUCUUCCUGAAACUGGAAUAGCUAAGCCCAGAAUGGUGGGAGGUAAGAAUAGAGCAGACAGGACCUGUUUGGAAUGCAUGGCAAAAGUAAUGGGAACUGUUGUCUUAUGCAGGGAAAUGGCAAGGUCACAUAUACAUUUUAGAUACUUCAUUCUGAGGGCAGAUGGAAGAUGUAUAUGAACAUGGCAGGACUGGAGGCAGAGGCACAAGGUAGGAGGAUAAUUCGGGUAAGAAAUUUAAAGAAUGCCAACUGGAAAAUGCAAGUAGAAGUAAGAGGAGGUAAUAUAUUGCAGAAAUAUUACUUGAGUAAAAUCAAGUCUACUUAGUAACUAGUUAAGAUGUGGUGGGUGAUAGAGAAAAGCCCAUGCUUCAGUUUGACAAAGUUGGUGGAUGGUGGUGUCAUAGUUGAGACGAGUAGGAAAUAAAGGAGACUAGCUCUGGGGGAAGGGUGUUGGGACAGAGGUGAGACAGAAGGAGCUGAUAUGUUGCAGGUACAGAAGAAGUAAAUGACUGAGAAUAAGGGGGAGAGAAGUAAUAUUUUAGUCAAGGAAGAAGUCCAUCCAGAUUUCUUCGUAUCACUGAGAGAAGGUACAUUGGGAAGUUGACGAGGUGGGGCAAAUAUGAAAGAUAAUAUGAAAGAAAUUAACAAUUCACCCAAAAAGAGAUGUAGAUUCAUUCUCUUAGUCACAGAUGACCACAUCAUCUGGUGUCCCGAGAACCACAUGCUCCCAACCUGAGACCUUGCUGGACCUCCAGUGAAAUCCAUUCCUUUUGAUCCUGAUGAUGUAGUAGGAAGGUAUUCAUUAAACUAACAGGAAAGUGUAGUUGGGGACACUAGGCCCUUCCUUUGAACAGAUACCCACACUGUGGUGUACUCUAGUAAGUAAUUUAGAAGACAAAAUUUGCUUACUGCCUGCAAAUGAAUUUGAUAAAUUGAAGAAUUACUUAGGACAAUGAGGUAAGUGGGAAACAUUGAGGUUAGUAAACAAAAGAAGAAAAAAGUCAAACUACCAAAAGAAUAGAAUACAUGAUUGGUUUACUUUAGAUGAGAAUGAUGGAAAAAAGAUGGGUCAUAGUGAACUAUGGAUUGAAGAGGAUUCAAUAAUGUAAAAAAGCAAGUGUGAUAUUAAAAUACAUAAAUCAAUCAUAAUAUUAAAGAUCUAAAUAGAAGUAUACAUAUAAGAACAAGCAGAGAUUCAUCUUCCUGGGGAGUCAGAUUCCUAAUCGAAUACUGUAUCUGUUAAAGUUCUUUGAUUCUUACUGACAGAAACAGACACUGAAUAUGAUUUAGGAUGAUUUCAAUUAUAAAUAAUAGAAAACCCAAUCAAAAUGGCUUCAACAAGAAAGGGAAUCUUCUCCUUCAUAUAACUAAAAAGUUCAAGGUUCAGACCUCUUUAAGGAUGUGGUUUCUUUGUUUUCAUCACAGUUAUCACAGUGUUGGCCUCAUCCCGGGACUAAUUCUUCUUGUGAUGGGAAGAUAGUUCCUAGUACUGAUACAACUAGGUCUUCAUGCUUCACAUCCAAUGAGAAAGAACAAGUUUUAAGAUAAUUCCCACAGAAGAGAGAGGUAACCUCAUUCCCAGAAUUCCUAACAAACAUGUCUUAUAUUUGGCCCAGAUUCAGUUAUGGCCCAUUUCUGAACCAUUUGCUGUGGGCAAAGGGAGGAGAUGUGAUAGUUAGCUUGAGUCCAUCAAAAUCCACCCUUAGAGAGAAAGAUGAAGUGAAUUCCACAUCAAAUCCAUGGCUGGGAUGUCCAGGCCCUGUUAGGAAGAAGCAAGGGGGCAUGUGGGAGGUAAAACCAGCCAAUAUCUACCACAGUAUGAAGCAGGAAAGGAUGUUUUGGGGAAGCCUGGAGGGUAACUCGGCAUGAUGCUUCAGCUUCCUGAGGGAAAGGCUAGAGUCCACCUCGGACAGACGGCAGUAACUAGGUCAGCUCCUGGAGCCUAGGGACCUAGGACCAGCUAACAGUUAUUUCAGAGCAUGCUGCCAGAAUGAACCGCCGGAUUGUUUUUAACCUCUUGUUUUACUCUGCAUACAGUUAAAGUCACACUAGGGAGAGUUGGCCAAGCUUGGUUGAUGAGCUCACAACUCAGCUAAGAGAGGUCAGAGAACCUUGACUGCUGGUCUCAAGAAAACUGUUCAUAACUGAGGAGAGAGAAUUAUUUCUGAGGACACUGAGGUGGUUUUCUAAAGAAAGGCGGAAAGGAAUCUGAAUUGCCCCAAACAAGUGUCCACUAUAAGUAUUAUAUUCCAAAUAUAAAAGGGGUAUAACGAACUUAGAAUGAAGAAUUAAGUAAAGAAGAUAAUUAUAGGACAAACACUUUGGACAGAAAAUAUGCUAUAAUAACAAAUUUUUAUGGAGUACCUAAUGUAUGCAAUGUGCUAUAUUGAUAUAAAGAUCUGUAUGAUAUCCUUUCUACCCUUCUGGACAAUACAGUGAAUUUUAGAGCUAGGAGGAAAGGAACUUAAAGUUCAUGCAAUCUGACAUCUUAUUUUUAAGGUAAAGAGAACAAGGUAAAGAAAGGUCAAAUCGUGAAUUUUGACACAGCAUUAGUCUAAACUAUCUGCUGUCUUUCUCUUAUGCUUUAUCUACCUGCUUAGUUCUGCAAUGGUCAUAAACAAAAUAAACUUCAGAGAAAGGACCCAGAAUUAUCUCAGCUCGGAGAUAAGACUGAGAAGAGAUUGGAAUGUCUUCUCUGUCAUCAAGAAGGGCAGGUCAGAACCCAUUGUUAAGACUCUAGUUGUUCAAAGUCACCUUAAAACAAGAGUCACUAGUUGGAGGAACAAGAACAUUUGCUCCAAGGUCUUUCAGUAGACACAUGGUGGCUGUGAAGGCUGUAUGCUUGGAACUUCUUUCCUGAGGACUAAAAGAAAAGCUAAAUUAAAAAUAAAAUAAAUACAUAUGACUUCCAUAUAGUUAUACCCCCAAACAGAAGAGGGUGAGAGGGGCAGGGUCUCUGACUUUUAAAGGUGCCUUCUGCUCCUCAGAUUUGGCAGCUUCGGGCUCCUAAUUUGCAAUUUAGUUUGAGAAAUGCCUUUUUUCAUAUGCUCCUUUUAAUCUGUUUGCUACUGUAGUACGUUUAAACAUCAGCAGAUGGGGCCCUUGGUUCCUUUGAAGAAUGUCAGGCUUGAAUUUUGUUAAUGUCUGUGGUCCAUAUGAAUUUUUCUUGUUGUUUUACAGCAUGUUAAAUUUGCACACUCUUUAUAGUUCACAAACCUUUGUUUAAUCAGGAAAAAGAAUACUCACUAACGACAACAAAUUCCUUUUUUCCCUCUUCCACUGUUCUAUAGGGAUAAGUUAGAUCUGUUUACAAAUGGAAAAUGAAUAUAACGUAAUACUCAGACAACAGCAUCUUUGAAAGGACAGGAAAAGUCAGUGUCAAAAUUAAUCUGUUGUCCGUAAGUCGGGAAGCUGUGUGGGAGGCUUUCACUGCAUGGGACCAUAGGUGACAGGUCGCAUCCAAGUUACCUUCAUUCUGGAUUACUUUCUUUUUGCUUUCCUGAAUUUCAUUUUGUGAAGGCAUUGUGUGAACCGGCUGGUUUUGAGCACUCACCAAUGAUCAUCAUUUUUUUUAAGUGACGUUUGUUGAUAGUCCGUAAAGAGAACAACGGGUCAUCUGGUCCUUGCAUCUGUUCCAGUGGGGUGAGGCAACACCAGAAACCAACUGAAAACAAAAUCUUUGAAGCUUGACAGCAUCUAUGCUGAAAUCUUCAAGGACCACUCAUUAAGCCAGGAAAUAUGUGCUUACGCUGUGACAGUGGCUGUCAUCUUGGAUUGGCCCCAUUAACCACCUCUGGUCCAUCAAGGCAAUAACGGAAGCCAUUCUCUUCCUCUAACAAGAGAUUGCCAAGAAAGUACACUGCUGCGCAACCAGCUGUUUGAGGAACUGAAGAGGAUGAAAAGAGGGUGAAAACAGAUGGGAUAUAUUUUGCAUUUCUACUUAGAUAUGAAUAUGUACAUAUGAUAUAUUAGGGCAUCUCUCCCACACAUGUCCCUCUCUUCUUGGUACAUUAUGUUAACCAUUUAUCACUUUCAUACGUCAACUUUAUCCAAAAGUUAUAUAUGCUCUUUGUUUCUUAGAUUUACUCCCUUCCUUACACCACUUUUUACUGAGCUAUUUGGUUAAAACUUGUGAAGACAUUUUAUAACUUAUGCUGCAUUGAAGGUACUUUGUGUGGAGGGAAUGUUUGUUUGAAACAAAGCUUAAAGUGUACUGUUUGCUUCAAUAUAGGGAGGAUUCUACAUAGUUGAAAGUGUUUAGAUUGUCCUGGUGCCAGAUUUUUAAAAUCCCACAUGUAAGAAAUAUAUAUUCAUUUUUGUUGAGUUGGAAAAUAUAGAAAGAAGAAAAAUAAAUACAUAAAUAAUAAAUAAAGAAGAAAA